rnacentral:misc_RNA from 1 species
CCGUCAAUUCAUUUGAGUUUCAGCCUUGCGACCGUACUCCCCAGAUGGCGGGCUUAACGGCUUCCCUUCGGCACUGACAUCACUCGCAGUAAUGCCAACACCUGGCCCGCAUCGUUUACAGCUAGGACUACCCGGGUAUCUAAUCCGGUUCGCGACCCUAGCCUUCGUCCCUCACCGUCGGACCCGGUCUGGUCAGACGCCUUCGCUACUGGUGGUCCCUCAAGGAUUAACGGAUUUCACCCCUACCCUUGAAGUACCUCUGACCUCUCCCGGUCCCAAGCCAAGCAGUAUUCCCUGAAAGCUUAACCGUUGAGCGGUUAAAUUUCCCAAAGAACUUACCUGGCCGGCUACGGACGCUUUAGACCCAAUAAUCGUGGCUACCACUUGGGCUGCCGGUGUU